rnacentral:rRNA from 1 species
CAGUCGCCGCGGUAAUACGAAGGGUGCAAGCGUUAAUCGGAAUUACUGGGCGUAAAGCGUGCGUAGGCGGUUUGUUAAGUCUGUUGUGAAAUCCCCGGGCUCAACCUGGGAAUGGCAAUGGAUACUGGCAAGCUAGAGUGUGUCAGGGGAUGGUGGAAUUCCCGGUGUAGCGGUGAAAUGCGUAGAGAUCGGGAGGAACAUCAGUGGCGAAGGCGGCCAUCUGGGACAACACUGACGCUGAGGCACGAAAGCGUGGGGAGCAAACAGGAUUAGAUACCCGCGUAGUCCCUGUCUCUUAUAC